CUAAAGUUUUAUUCUUGCUUGUUUAUUCACUUUUGCUUUGUAUUAUAUGUGAGUUUUGUUUACUAAAUGUUCUAUUUGCAGUAAUUUGAUUUAAUUAUCAAGGAAUUUUGGAAUUAGCAAUUGUAUUAGCAUUGGCUUAUUUCGUGCCAGCAGCCGCGGUUAUACGAUUAAUGCAAGUGAAUACUUUUGGUUAAGGCAGUUGUUCAUGUAUAAUUAAGAAUUUUAAUAAAUUUUUUGGAGGUGAAAUUCAAAAAUUUUUUGUUUUUCUUUUUAUGAAUCUGUGAAACUUAAAUUAUAAACUAGGAUUAGAUACCCUAUUAUUUUGAGUGUAAAUUUUGUUUACCUGGGUAGUAUUAGUUAUGAUCUUUAAACCCAAAGAAUUUGGCGGUACCUUAUUCCAUUCAGAGGAACCUACCCCGUGAUUGAUAGUACACGAUUAACUUUACUUAAUUUAUUUGUUUGUAUAUCUCCGUUAUCAGAGGAUCUUUUUAGAGUUAAAAUUUUCUUGAUACAUAAUUACGUAGUAUUUCAGGUCAAGGUGCAGCUUAUGGUUAAGUGGAGGUGGGUUACAAUAAAUUUUAAUUUAUUACGGAUUUUCGUUUGAAAUAUUAGGAUACUAAGGUGGAUUUGAUAGUAAUUUGAUUUAAUUAAUUCAUUUGAUAUUGGCUCUAAGGUGUGUACACAUCGCCCGUCGCUCUCAUCAUUAAGUUUAACUUUAAGUGGUAUGAUUUAAGAUUAGGUGAGAUAAGUCGUAACAUAGUAGAUGUACUGGAAAGUGUAUCUAGGAAGAGUUUAAU
rnacentral:ncRNA from 1 species